GUGGGGAAUAUUGGACAAUGGGCGCAAGCCUGAUCCAGCCAUGCCGCGUGAGUGAUGAAGGCCUUAGGGUUGUAAAGCUCUUUCACCGAUGAAGAUAAUGACGGUAGUCGGAGAAGAAGCCCCGGCUAACUUCGUGCCAGCAGCCGCGGUAAUACGAAGGGGGCUAGCGUUGUUCGGAUUUACUGGGCGUAAAGCGCACGUAGGCGGUUUGUUAAGUCAGAGGUGAAAUCCCGGAGCUCAACUCCGGAACUGCCUUUGAUACUGGCAAGCUAGAGUCCGGAAGAGGUAAGUGGAACUCCUAGUGUAGAGGUGGAAUUCGUAGAUAUUAGGAAGAACACCAGUGGCGAAGGCGGCUUACUGGUCCGGAACUGACGCUGAGGUGCGAAAGCGUGGGGAGCAAACAGGAUUAGAAACCCGUGUAGUCC
rnacentral:rRNA from 1 species